GGUGCCGUGGCAAAGUAUUGGUCUACAAACCCAUGGUUGGCAAUUCAAACCUAUUGGUUGCCCUGCAAGAGAAAACUGAGACUUUCUGCCUGUCGUGAAAAUGUACAGCCUGGAAACCCAGACAGGUCUCAGAUGACUACAAUCUUCAGCCAGGUUGUGAGAACCACUACCUAAGACCAAGUAAGACUCUUCAGAGGCUUCGCAUAAGCAAGGAUGGCGAGACUUCGUAUUGCAUGCUUUCCCCAGACUGUCUGGAGCGGCCGGUCCCUGGAGAAGGCCGUCAUCUUGGUGGAACAGAGAGGCAGUGAAAAAGGGAGGUCGUCUACGAGAUGGAUUGACGCGUGGCUGCAACAAAGCGCUCAGGCGCAGGAAAAAGAUGGUAAAAGAAGCCACUAGAUGAUGCUCACAGCUUCCCUGCCCUGUGGGGAGGUCAUCCAGCCACAUAGACAAUCUUCCAGGCUCCAAGGCCAACCCCCGCCAAGGGCCUGUUUAAAUAAGUCAAGUGAAUGUUUUCUGGGGAGAGGGAUCUCUCUUUCUCUCUCAAUGAAACUGAUGCCAGGCUGCCUCCGAGUUACUCCUCUCUCGAACGCCAAGUCAAUAAAACCAAGAUCUUAAGUAAUUUGUUUAAAUGUAAAGUCUGCACUGAUUAGAUACUUUGUGGAUUACUCCUUUUCCUAGUAAAGAAAAAUCAAUGUGA